UCGGUGCUCCUACGUGGCGUUAUGUCACCCAAUCCCCCCAGGGCAGGAAUGCAGCAAGGGUAAGUGGCCUCUGACGGGUGCGUAGGAGUUUACUCUUUU
rfam:Bifidobacterium psychraerophilum strain LMG 21775 Contig09, whole genome shotgun sequence.